rnacentral:misc_RNA from 1 species
GAUGAAGAACGCAGUGAAAUGCGAUACGUAAUGUGAAUUGCAGAAUUCAGUGAAUCAUCGAAUCUUUGAACGCAUAUUGCGCUCUCUGGUAUUCCGGAGAGCAUGCUUGUUUGAGUAUCAGUAAACACCUCAACUUCCAUAUCUUUUUUUGAAAUGGGAGUUGGACUUGAGUGAUCCCAACGCUUUUCCUCACCGAAAAGUGGCGGGUUACUUGAAAUGCAGGUGCAGCUGGACUUUUCUCUGAGCUAUAAGCAUAUCUAUUUAGUCUGCCUAAAAAACAGAUUAUUACCUUUGCUGCAGCUAACAUAAAGGAGAUUAGUUCUUGUGCUGACUGAUGCAGGAUUCACAAAGACAGCUUCGGCCGACUUUGUAAACUCGAUCUCAAAUCAAGUAAGACUACCCGCUGAACUUAAGCAUAUCAAUAAGCAGAGGA